GUAUAAAAUUAUUUUGAGUUAUUCUUUCAGGUUGCAUGUUUUCCAUCCUUACUUAUUUUAAAGACUACUGCAAGAACUGGAAUUCAGAUGAAAAUUGCAAGGAGAUUAUAAUUAAAUAACACCUCAAAACUUAAAAUGGUAUUGAUGUAUCAGCUAUACUUCAUAUGAUGAACCAGACCUAUCACCAUGGCAUUUAAUGCCUCUACUCUAAAGUUUUCCUACUCCCCCAGAAGUAGAAACUUCGGGGUAAAGCAGAACUGAAGAGUCUGACUACCAAGAGGUGCAAUCAUCUGCAUCUAUUAGUCUUCCCAUCUGCAAAUCUGUGAGGAUGGCUGCCCAAUCAUGUGCCCAGCAGCUGACAUUCAAAAGUGAAUAUCUGGAUCUUUAGUUAAAACUGAACACUGUUUUGACCAUAUAAUUUUGAUAUUAGAUUGAUGCUGCCAGUUUAGCUGCUAACAAGUUAUAUGACUAAUAACACAGCUGAUGGGAGAUUGUGUGUUGCUUUAUUAGAAU